GGGUUAGAGCCGGGUUGGCUAGGCGCCUUAUUUGGGAUGAGGAAUCGCUGUGUUCGAACCACAGUAACCCGAG
rnacentral:tRNA from 1 species